ACUCUGUCCUGCUGCCCUGUGAAGAAGGUGUCUGCUUCCCCUUCACCUUCUGCCAUGAUUGUCAGUUUCCUGAGGCCUUCCCAGCCAUGCUGAACUAGCAGUGAGUGUACAGCACUUGGCCAAGCAAUGAAAAACAUCAUCUUAAACUGCACAGAGGCCAACAGGUUACAAAGCAUUAUCUCAUUUAAUCUUCACAGUGACCUUACGGCACAGCAGGUAUUGUCAUUCUACAUUCACAGAUGGAGAGACUGAAGCCCAGGAGGUGAAGCAAUACAGCAUGACUCACACACUAAAUGCCAGUGCCAGGACUUGAGCCUCAAGGUUACGCCACCCCACAGCAUUUGUCCUCCAAAAGGCCGGGCUAUCUUCUCACAAUGGCUGUCAGUGUGUUCAUUUUCAAAACCUAAACUAGCUAAGUCUCGAAAGAUGAAAACAAACAAAAAAAUUAACUGAGAAGAAAGGCACCCACAGCUUCAAAAUCCAAAGAAGAAAGUAGACACUUUUGUUUUAGAUCAAGGGAAACCAAAAAACAAAAACGAAAAGUGGUGAGACAGCAUAAUCCCUGAAGGAAAACAGUGACCUUCUCCAGGUUUUAGGAAGACGGUCAAACCCGCAUGCCCCUCCAUGCUUCUAGGAAAAUGUACUACACAUAUUCUUCAGGCAGAUGUGAAUGCUCCAAAGGGGCGCCCCUCUGCAGCUGGCUGACCAGCCCUCCUCUGCUCUGUCGUUUUCAUACAAACAUUUAGAUCUGUGGCUGGGUAGAUAUUAGUGGCUGGGUCAAAAAGACAGUUCUGGUAUGAAAUAUUUAUACUUAAUUGGCCUCUGUGUCUGUCUGUGUAGUUUUGCCAAGCAUUUUAAUACUUUUCCUUGAGUAUUCUUUAUUCUUUUUUGGAAAGAAUGCUAUUCAGGGUAAGAAUGAGGGGGAGUAGGGACACAGCACAAAAGAUUGUCUCCUCCGAAGGCUUUGGGCACUCUUCCCAAAACAGAUGCAGAAGGGAACACUAGCCUCUGCCUUGAAAAUAGUGUGGGAUAUUUAUCUUGAAGUUCACCAUCGUUAUUCUUUGCUUCUUAGCCUUUCUGAUUUAAAUUCCAGUUUAGUCUUGAUUUUGUGGAAUAAUCAAAGUAAUAAAUUGGAGGAAAAUUAUAAUUUCUAGUAUACAAUAUCAUGAGAUAGAGUGUAACUUUUCAUUUGCAAUUUAAUUUUUAUUGUAUUUUAUUUAUUUACUUAUGUAUUUGUAGAGACAGUCUUGUUCUGUUGCCCAGGCUGGGGUGCAAGUGGCACAAUCAUAGCUCACUGCAGCCUUGACCUCCUGGGCUCAGUCAGUCCCCCUGCCUCAACCUCCUGAGUAGCCAGGACCGGAAGCUCAUACUACCAUGUCCAGCUAAGACAGGGUCUCGCUCUGUUGCCCAAGGUGGUCUCAAACUCCUGGCUUCAAACAAUCCUCCUACCUUGGCCUCUCAGAGUGUCGGGAUUACAGGCGUGAGCCACUGCACUUGGUCUGCAAUUUAACUUUUAAAUAAGGCAUUUAUUUGAAUAAUUCUUAUCCAGUAUUUAAAAAAUAUAUUUUUAUCAUUAAAUGGUAGUAUAUACAUUUGUCAUUAAAAAAGUACAAAGUAUUAAAAAAUAUAAAGAGAACAAAAAUCACCCACAAUUCUACCAUGCUGAAAUAAAGAUUAUUAAGUAUAUCCUUUUCCAAUGUUUUCUAUACAUUUUAAUUUCUCUUAAGAAUUUGAAUUUUAUUAUAUAUAGUAUUUCUACACCUUGUUUUUGUGAAAAUUAUAUAGCAAGUGUUUCUCUGUUAUUGUCAUUCUUGUAAACAUAGUUUUUAACAAUCUUCAUGUUAUUCCAAAGUAUAGAUGGUCACAAUUUAUUGGGCGAGUCCAUCAUUAUUUAAUUUUUUUCAUUUUGGUGUAUUAACAAAACCAUGGUGUGCAUCCUGUAGUUACAUCUUUGUCUGAAUCUUUGAUUAUGUCUUUACCAUACUUUCCUAGGAGAGAAAUUAUGGAAACAAAGGAUCAGCACAAUUUUAAGAUGAACUGACCACUUCUUAGCACCUCCACGAUUGACACCUCGUCUUUGUCACCACCUCUCUGCCUGGAUGACUACAGUGGUGGCCCCCUCCCUGCCCUCCAAGUGCCCACGCUUGCCCCUACAGUCUGUUCCCAACACAGCGGCCAGAGAGACCAUCUUGCAAUCAGGCAGGCUCGGCUGGCCCACUUUAGCCUAAAUCCAGGGAUCCAGCAAGCAUUCAUCUCACAUAGCUCGGGUUUUACUGAGCUGGUUCCUCUGCCUGCUUCUCUGAGCUGUUGACCCGUCGAGUACAAGAGAACUACAACCCCCAGCAUGCACUGCGCUGGUACAAGUGGAUCUGCUCGGCACCUAUAACCUAAUUACCUCUCAGGCUCAUACAAGGCUCUGGCCACUAAGCAAACGAUCUCCCAAAGGGAUUAUUCUCAAGCAGCACAGAAACUGUCCCUAUGCCUCAGGUGGCCCCAGGACUCUUUCGUACUAGAGACUUAUCUGUUAAUAAAGUUGACAAAGGAAGGUGGCCUUCCAGGAAUUUUUGUUUGGGCCACUUCCUGGAAGAAUGAACACUUGACCCUGAGAGACUUGGCUGAGCAGUGCUGGGUCAGCUUAACCAAAGAAGACCAGCCAUCACCCACGGCAAGAGCAGCUCUGACUCGGACCCACUGUUCCCCCAGCCUGUUAGCAGCCCGUGAACAAUCUUUAAGUAACCCCUGGCCCUGUCACAUCUCCACUCAACAGGGCUCUUGGGGAGGAUGCGUGGACCCAGAACAGUGCCCACCCACACCACCUGUAAGUGUGGCCAUGGCAGCCAGCCGGCAUGGAUGCUAAGUAACAAGUGGUGUUGGGGCACAGAUGUGGCGGGAGCGCUUUGGGGCAAAGAAAGAGGUGCUGUGAGUGAGGACAGAAAGGAAGGAAAAAAAAAGCCUCAUGGGUUACAGUGCCUCUCGCCUUUGGCUCUUCUUCAGAAGACUGGUAAAAGAAAGCAGGAAGAGAAAUUGGUUUCCCUGACUUCUCUAAAGCAAGCGUUCUUCAGAAAAGAGAAUCGAUCAGCCUGGUUAAAGUGGAUAAACUAUCUGAUGUCCAUCCAGAGAGGUGUCUAUUAAUGGCUGUAAAAUGGAAAGAUGAAUCAAUGGGACCGAUUAAUAUUUAUGAAGAGUUGAACUAGGCAGAGUGAAAGAGCCUUGUGUAUUGGAUAAGAAAGGAAAAGCAUUGCACACCAUAGGAUGCGUUUGUUUGGCUAAGGUUUCUGUUUUGAUCACUGGGUAAUUGUAUAGAGCAGGGGCGUAUGGUAGAGAAAGAAAAUCUAUAUCUAGAAGUUAUUGACUUUAUGUACAAAAGCACUGGUUGGUGCCUAUUUUUGAGGACCACUCCAUCUUAAAAAUAACUUUGGUUUUGUACGGCCUAGUUGUGGUGGAAAAGGAGCUCCAAAGAGUAAGCAAGUUUCCUACAAAAAGAAUCCAAGCUGUUGAAACUACAAUUAAGAAAUGCAAAGAGUUACUAAUUUUACUACUUAGAGGAAAGGAAAUUUACAAGCAAGAAAGAAACUGUAGAUCAGGGCAAGUUGUAACUCUAGAGGUUCAGAGAUAGGCGCUCUAAUUACCCCAGGGCAAGGGAGGACUGUUUGGGGAAAUUUCUGAAAGAUGAAAUAGGAAAGCUGAGGGUCAAAAUGAUAUUGUGAUGAGAAUAAAUAGAGAAGACAUGUUUGCACGAAGCUCAGCUGGGUAAUCAUGAAAAGGAGGAGCGAGGGAGGAAACUGAAAAUCGAAAUAAAGAACAGAAGCACAGACCGUGAAAUAUGCCAAAUAUAGUGUGCAAAUACUCAGAAGGCAUGGAAAGAGAAGUUAGAAGCCAAAACUCAGUUAUCACUAUUGUGUGAAGGAACAAUAGAACUCUUAGCAAAAACAAAUGACUUAGCAUGAGACCAAUACUGCUUUCCUUAGGUAGCUUGGUCCAGAGGGAAAAGGCUGAUAUCACUCCCUAUCAAGGGUUUUUAGACCGUUUAAGUGAGCUCUGCAAGUGGGAGACACGGUGAUGAUUAUUGACAGUUGCUGUCUUUCAAGGGGGAGAAGCAAACUGAUGUUACACAUUAGAAUUCAUUAGCACCACCGAACACAGGUUACAAAAAUACUGGGAGGAAUUCUCUCUCCUGAGCACAUUAAGUAAUAUUUGUAAAUGUGUGCAGUAAGUGUUGACUCUCUCAUCAUGCUGGACCGGGAAAUGGUUCUCAGCAAAUCAUGGCAUGAUUUCUUUUUCAAAGUUGGGUACAUGAAUAUUAUCGUAACCAGCUAAGAGCAGGGAGACGUGCUCUUAAUCUACUUUGACGUGGCAUGGGAGACUAACAGAUAGUGCAGCUUUUAAGAGAAGAUGUAGAAAUCAAUCUAGUAACAAAUAUUUAUUAAGCAUUGGAGUGUGCUAGGCACCAAAAGAAAAGAAACCUCCACAGCUGAUAAAGCCUUUCAAAAUAAUGUCCUCAGUUCAUUUGCACAUUUCCGUGAGGUAGGUGUUGUUAGCCAUUUCCAUUAAUGAGAAAAAAAAAAAUGAGAUUCAGAAAGGUUAAUUAAAUUGGAGAUCUCCUGAUUUUUAGUUUUAUAUCCUUCCCGUGUCCUUUCCAGUCUUAUAUUCCGGUCCUAUCACUUCUCAGCUGAGUUACUUCAACAAGUUAUUUAUCCUCUGUGUUCUCAGCUGUCAGAAUGAAAAUGCCAAUACCUACCUGGUAAGGAGUGAGAAAACAUUUAUAAAAAUGCUCAGCUGGGUACCUGACACAUAGGAGGUCCUCAGUAAAUUUGUUUUCUCUCCCUUUCUUCCGAAGGACGGUGGCAGAUGGAUUCAGCCAGCCAGCCUGGGUAGCACAAGCCAUGACGCCCUGCUGAAUCUGUGUUCUAGGGUUGGACAGGGGGAGUCCUUUUGCCUAGAGGGACGGUGUGCGAGGCCUAAGAGGACUUGGGCAGAGUCUUGAAGGAGGAGCAGGAUUUGCUGUGGUGGAGAGGUGCUCAAGGGUUGAGCAGAUAGGAGAACCAAGGAAUCAAGGCAGGGAAAGAGAGGCGGUGCAUGUGAAGGGCCAGGAGCUGUUAACUAGUUUGCUAAGCAGCAGGCUAGGAUUUAGAAGGAGUUGGAGAAGCGCGGAGGGAGCUGAGGCUCUUGUGAGGGGAACUUUUAUGCUAAGGGUUCCGACUUGGCCCUGUGAGUGAAGGUGAGCUAGGGAAGGUUUGUGAACUUAGAGUCUCACCUGUUAAGAUUAAUCUGGUGCCAGUGUAUAGAAUGGACCAUCAAGGAAGAGGUGGAAAAACAAGGAAAAUUUAUAUUUUAUAGACACACACACACACAUAGACACAGAGCCCUUUUUAUUAUAAAACAUAUAAUCGACUUAACCCCAUUUUAAGUGGCUUGGACAUUAAUUUUACUCUUGUAAUUGAUUAUAGAGAUUUAAAACUGUUGUGUUUUUGCCUUUGUGACAUAUUAUGGCCAUAUCUAAAAUUUAUUUGAUGUUAAAUCAAGAACAAAACUCUUCAAUUCUAUUGUUGUUCCUAAGGUGAAAUAUAAUCUACUUUGAGUCAAUUCACUGUGUCAUAAACUUUCCAGGAAAGGGAAACUUGAUAAAAAGCAGAGACUCACUGCAUAUGACAAUAAUUAAAUCUAUAUUCAACAAGUAUAAAAGAAUGGUUGUAGGGGUAAGCAAUUUGGAAGAAAAAAACCCACUUGACUUAAAUAUGACAGAAAAUCAUACUGAAGUCUGACACCCCAUGACCUUUUUUGAGAUUUGAGGUUAUGCCAUGUAUUUGAGAAUAAACAAAAUCCAGUUAAGUGUC